rnacentral:lncRNA from 1 species
UUCUGGAAAAUAAUGUCACCUAAUCUCUAUCUUUGUGAAAUUGAUUGAUUAAGAUCGGUUAUAUAUCUUUGGACGUUACUAAGGGGUCGCUUUGUUGGAGGGAUUAGGAAACAUAUUUCCGGUUAACUAAUGCGGCGUUCGGUUGGCUUAUGUAGCUUUUGGUUUGUGUUAUUAAACAAUACUUGCAUUACGUUACCUAGAAGUUAUGUAUUAUUUUAUGCGGGAUAAUUUGAAACAUGAAUACAUGUAUUUUUAAUACGGAUAACAUUACUUAACAUUUCAUGCAUUAUUAUUCAUUGCAUAACAAUCUCUAUAUUAUUAUUCACCGUAUAACAGUCCCUUCAUUAUAUUCACUAAAGCCCAUUCAAUAGAUGCUUUUGCCAUAUCCUGAUUUUCUUUUGACCCCCUCCC